rnacentral:rRNA from 1 species
AAGACCUUGCACUUUUGGAGCGGCCGAUGUCUGAUUAGCUAGUUGGUGGGGUAAUGGCCUACCAAAGCUUCGAUCAGUAGCUGGUCUGAGAGGACGGCCAGCCACACUGGGACUGAGACACGGCCCAGACUCCUACGGGAGGCAGCGGUGGGGAAUUUUGGACAAUGGGCGCAAGCCUGAUCCGGCCAUGCCGCGUGAGUGAAGAAGGCCUUCGGGUUGUAAAGCUCUUUCAGCCGGGAAGAAAAGGUUGCGACUAAUAAUCGCAAUUCAUGACGGUACCGAAAGAAGAAGCACCGGCUAACUACGUGCCAGCAGCCGCGGUAAUACGUAGGGUGCGAGCGUUAAUCGGAAUUACUGGGCGUAAAGGGUGCGCAGGCGGUUUUGUAAGUCAGAUGUGAAAUCCCCGGGCUUAACCUGGGAACU